AGAGUUUGAUCCUGGCUCAGAACGAACGCUGGCGGCAUGCCUAAUACAUGCAAGUCGAACGCGCCUAGCGAUAGGCGAGUGGCGGACGGGUGAGUAACGCGUGGGAACCUGCCCUUGAGUGCGGGAUAACCGAGGGAAACUUCGGCUAAUACCGCAUGCGCCCCGGGCAACUGGGGGAAAGAUUUAUCGCUCGAGGAGGGGCCCGCGUCGGAUUAGCUAGUUGGUGGGGUAACGGCCUACCAAGGCGAUGAUCCGUAGCUGGUCUGAGAGGAUGAUCAGCCACACUGGGACUGAGACACGGCCCAGACUCCUACGGGAGGCAGCAGUAGGGAAUAUUGGACAAUGGGGGCAACCCUGAUCCAGCAAUGCCGCGUGAGUGAUGAAGGCCUUAGGGUUGUAAAGCUCUUUCGCGCGCGACGAUGAUGACGGUAGCGCGAGAAGAAGCCCCGGCUAACUUCGUGCCAGCAGCCGCGGUAAUACGAAGGGGGCGAGCGUUGUUCGGAAUUACUGGGCGUAAAGGGCGCGCAGGCGGCCUUUCAAGUCANGCGUGAAAGCCCCGGGCUUAACCUGGGAAUUGCGCUUGGGACUGGGAGGCUUGAGUACGG
rnacentral:rRNA from 1 species